rnacentral:rRNA from 1 species
UACGUAGGGUGCGAGCGUUGUCCGGAAUUAUUGGGCGUAAAGGGCUCGUAGGCGGUUUGUCGCGUCGGGAGUGAAAUCCACUGGCUUAACUGGUGGCUUGCUUUCGAUACGGGCAGACUGGAGGUAUGCAGGGGAGAACGGAAUUCCUGGUGUAGCGGUGAAAUGCGCAGAUAUCAGGAGGAACACCGGUGGCGAAGGCGGCCCCCUGGGCCGGCCCUGACACUGAGACGCGAAGGCGUGGGGAGCGAACGGG